rnacentral:tRNA from 1 species
ACUUGUAGCUCAGAGGUCAGAGCAAUAGACUCAUAAUCUGGAGGUCCCAGGUUCAAGCCCUGGCUGGUC